rnacentral:rRNA from 1 species
AUGGUCAGGAGGACCACCUCGCCGAUGGCUACGCCGUCUGAGCUGGCGGCUGUGGCGGGAGGAGGGCGCGGGCAGGAGGCCCCUGUCAUCCACUCUUCCCCACUACCUGGUGUGGGGCACCCGUCUAAGGAGAUCGAGAGCCCGCAGACGCCUUCUCUGGUAACUUUGGCACCACCUUUCAGGGUUUCGGUGCCAGGUUAUACUAGGGAGGAGGUGAUCGCGUUUGGUGGGAUCCCGGACCCUAUCUCCGAGGGGAGACGGAUGAGUACUCGCAUCCUCGACAUCCCUGAGGUGGACGAUAUGCAGCAGCGGUGCGCUAUGAGGGCGGCCAAGCUUCAGGAGGCUGCUUUAUUUUCUGGUAUGUCCGUCAACUUAUCUAAUUCCCUAUUGCAUUUUUCUAAUGAGGACAUUAUAAAUAAUGCAAACUAA